UGGGGAAUUUUGCACAAUGGGGGAAACCCUGAUGCAGCGACGCCGCGUGAUUUAGAAGGCCUUCGGGUUGUAAAAAUCUUUUUUACGGGAUGAAAAUGACAGUACCGUAAGAAUAAGGUCCGGCUAAAUACGUGCCAGCAGCCGCGGUAAUACGUAUGGACCGAGCGUUGUCCGGGAUCAUUGGGCGUAAAGGGUACGUAGGCGGCCUAGUAAGUUAGAAGUGAAAUAAUAUAGCUCAACUAUAUAAAGCUUUUAAAACUGCUAGGCUUGAGAGAUGGAAGGGAAAGUGGAAUUCCUAGUGUAGCGGUGAAAUGCGCAGAUAUUAGGAAGAAUACCGGUGGCGAAGGCGACUUUCUGGUCAUCAUCUGACGCUGAGGUACGAAAGCGUGGGUAGCAAACAGG
rnacentral:rRNA from 1 species